AAAACGGCCCUUUUCAGGGCCAAACCAAAAAAAAAAAAAUGCCAGU
rfam:Ixodes scapularis strain Wikel colony gcontig_1107728636544, whole genome shotgun sequence.